rnacentral:lncRNA from 1 species
GUGGCGUAUAAAUCGAGUUUUGAUGAUGACCAACAACUCGUAACAGCAAGCACCGAAGUCUGCACAUUACAGAGAUGCGCAUGCGCACUGUUUUUACUUCUGAUUGGUCUAGGCUGCCUGAUCGGUGCUGGUAUCGGUCUCUACAUUCAUAUUAAUAACCAGACAGAUCCUACUUUGAUCAUCACAGCAGUAGGCCACCCAUAUGGGAAUGACGCCCUUUAUCCGCCAGACUUCCACAGGCCAUCUCGCUUCGGUGGCCACAUGGAUCGUCACAUGCCUGAGAUUCACCACGGGUCACGUGGUUUCGAGCCGAUGCGACCACCACCACCACCACCUCACUUUCCCCACGGUCAUCCUCCCAUCAUGGAACGCCCCUUUGGUAAUGACGGUUUAGAACCCCCCUUCGGUCACGACGCGCUGGAACCUCCCGGCCCUGACGGUCCCCGGACUCGCUUACACGAGAGACCCCCUGCUCCACCGGGACCUCUCCCUGGUGGUCCCCCGCACGGCAGGCGGCCUGGAUCAGAAGGUUCCCGUAGGCUCGGACCUGGGUACGACCUACACCACGGCGGACCCGUAGAUCACGAGCACGCUAGACGACGGGGGAAAGUCAACAGAGCUUACUAUCAUAACAACCUACCAUAAUCGACACAUCCUUAGAUCUUGAAGAUUGUCAGCUUUCUUAUCGUGGAGGGCGCUCUUCAAUCUUUCCUUUCUUCCGGUCACAGACAAGAGUUUAUGGCUCCUCGUGACGUCACUUCACCACCACUCCACAGUAUGGCGGUCUAUACAGAGGGUUUGGCCAAAUAAGUUUAAGUUGGAUACAACAUGGCGUCUAUUCUUCUGUUUUGUGAUUGUCCCACAGUACAGUAUCCGCCUUAUUGUGCCCGAAUCAUUGCGGGUUGGCCAAACUGUUCUAGUCAAUGGCUCUGGUUACCGAUAUCAUAGAGCGACCUCAACGGCCAGGGAUGGGCGCACUGACAUUACAUUUUAAUCACUAAGAAGUGCCUUGUAUAUUUGUUGUAUAUUACAGAUUUCAUUACAGUUUACAAAUUUUAAACUUCUUUUUGGAUUCGGGCUAUCGUGUCUAUGCCGAUGACUUGGAAAUUAGUUGUAGAUACGAAAACUGCUGAACGUAUAGUUACGAGGUUAUUUCAGCAUUUCCUUUUCCUUCCAAGCUUGUAAUAUGAAAUUGAGUUUAAAAAUAAAUAUUUCCUCCAUUUUGUAUGAUGUAUCUCAUGCUAUCGCUCAUAAGAAAAAAAACAACACACAACAUGAUAAAGAUUUAGUAGAGUUCUGGUCAAAAGAUAAUAAUAUUGUUAAAGAAACUGAAACUAAUGAGGAAAAAUGUAUUGGUAUAUAAAUGUGAUGUUUAAGAAUAACAAAAAUGAUUAUAAAUUAAUUUAUGCUCGCCGACAUGGACAUAUAAAUGUGUAUAUGAGACUACCCACUUUGGAGUGAAUGUUUGGCCACAUUUGCAGCUACUUCUCACCUUAAAUAUUAUUAAAGUUUGUCUGGUUACAAUAAAUUUACAUAAUCUCUCUUUAUAUUUGUAUACACAAACAUAAAUCUGACAUAUAAGUUAACCUUUAAUAGAACGCAAACUUCUCUCACGCAAACUACUCCGGUUGACGUUCCGAUGUAGAUAACUCUAAUUAGAAAGCAAGUCUGAAUGUUCUGUUAACACAAUUCUAAGGCUAUUAUUGGACAGACAUAACUGCGAUAUUCGCAUGAAAACUUGAAAGAAUUAUUUGGAAAUACAGAGAAUCGAGGGGGAACAUAAAAACAACCUCGUAGGCCUAUCAUACGUGAUCUCAAAUCAGAAUAUUGGUCUGACUAUCAUUUUCAUGUUGACCGUGCGUUCGGACCUCACACUCGUUAUAAUGACGUCAUAAAGAGUAGAGGCAAAGCAUUAGCGGAAAUGGUAAAGACUUUCACGGGGGCAAAGUCAUUCAAAAACAUAAUAUUUUAAAUAAAGAGUAAGAACGUAUUAAUUCCAAAAUAUUGUGCAAUACAUUACAUAUGAUCUUGAUCGAUCACAUAUAUAUGACGUCAUCCAUGGUAUAGUGCCAUGGUAUUUUACACUAUACCAUGGAUGACGUCACGGUUACAUCAUAGCAAUUUUAUGUUUGGUCACAUGAUGCUAUGUUGACCAAUCACUGGAGAGAAUUUCAUUGGUCAAAAAUAUAUUGUGCACUAUAUUACAUAUAAUCGUAUGUAAAUGAAUAUGAAUCCUUUCAGUUAUUUGAAUAUAAUGUACAGAAAGCAUGAAAUAUAACAUUGGUAAAUUUCGUUGAAUAUUAUUGCAUGUGAAAUGAAAUAUAUAUGUUGUACAUACAGUAGGGCACUUUUAGCGAUCAUGUUAUGAUCAAACUCACGUAAGAGUUGAUGCACCUUUUUUUUAAAUGUAAAUAGUCCCCCUCCAAAAAGUUAAGCGACUCUAGUUAAAUUAAUGAUAUUUCUCUUGUCAUAAGAUGAUCAUCACUUUGUUUGGGAUUAUUAUAAACUAUGCUUAUUAUAUUUAUAAUAAUGACACCAUAUUUGAUAGGAUUCUGCAGCCAAGGAAUCAGCAGUAUAUCAUAAUAAGGGGGUAGUCAGAAAUAAUAAUGACGUCACGAAGAGUAGAAGCAAAACACGUUGGCUGAAAUGGUAAGAUCUUUCUUAGGGGCAAAGUCAUGCAAAAAAAAUAAGAUAUUGAAUAAAGGGUAAAAACAUAUUAAUUCAAAAAAUGUUGUGCAAUAUAUUAUUGAUAUUGUUGUAUCGUGCACUACAGAGCAGCCGUACACUCGUCAAAGAAAGAAUAAUGCACAGCCAAACAAUAUUAGUGCAUUCUGCUAUGUUUUACUUUUAAUCUCGCCCCUUAUUUUGAUGUAAAGCACAUUCCAUGAUUACAAAUCAUAACAAUUCAAGCAAGAAUAACGAAACUUUUUAAUAAUACUUAAAGGGAGUAUAUCAUGAUGGGACUAUGUGUCAACACACGCGAAACCGAAGCGUGAGUAGAACUUCGGUCCGUUUCGCGAACGCUAGCGCGCGCUGACCCAGUUAAUCAAGUCCAUUCGUUUACGUGUAGUUGUCCAAAAGAACACGUAGAUGGCGUUAAUCAGUAUUUCCUAUGAUACACUCCCUUUAACGGUACGAUGGUUAUGGUUAUGAAAGUGAGAUAUAAUUAAUCAAAUUUGAGAUUCCAAACUUUAUUUGAUGAAUUUAGUUUAUUCCACUGACUUAAUUACAUGCCGCAUGAGUUGCAUGGAAAUGGAAAAACAGUAAGGAUACAAUCCCAGUUUAGCAGUUGUUCUUUGAUCAUUCUUAGAAACAGAAAUUCCAAUAUCAAUAAUCAUACAAGAUCGUCUUUAUUGUUUAAUGUGCACAUUAUUAUGUUAUAGCGUGUAAUUAUAUAUGUUUCUUCUGUAGUUAUUUAGCACGUAAAUAUUAUUUCGGUAGUAGCUAAUUUUUGUAAAUAAAAUGUCUUGAUCUAAGAGAAUUUAUUAAAUUGUACAAACAAUCUA